AACGAACGCUGGCGGCAUGCCUAACACAUGCAAGUCGAACGAGACCUUCGGGUCUAGUGGCGCACGGGUGCGUAACGCGUUGGAACCUGCCCUUAGGUUCGGAAUAACUCCCCGAAAGGGGUGCUAAUACCGGAUAAUGUCUUCUGACCAAAGAUUUAUCGCCUUUGGAUGGGCCCGCGUUGGAUUAGCUUGUUUGUAGGGUAAAAGCCUACCAAGGCGACGAUCCAUAGAUGGUCUGAGAGGCUGAUCAGCCACACUGGGACUGAGACACGGCCCAGACUACUACGGGAGGAAGCAGUGGGGAAUAGUGGAAAAUGGGCGAAAGCCUGAUCAAGCAAUGCCGCGUGAGUGAUGAAGGCCUUAGGGAUGUAAAGCUCUUUUAACCGGGAUGAUAAUGACAGUACCGGGAGAAUAAGCGCCGGCUAACUACGUG
rnacentral:rRNA from 1 species